UGUUAUGUGGCUUAGUUGGUUAACGCGCCGGUCUAGCGAAUACGGAGUCUUGGGUUCAAAUCCCACCAGAACGC
rfam:Aedes albopictus isolate Foshan contig141295, whole genome shotgun sequence.